GCGUGCUUAACACAUGCAAGUCGAACGGAAAGGCCCCGCUUUUGUGGGGUGCUCGAGUGGCGAACGGGUGAGUAACACGUGAGUAACCUGCCCUUGACUUUGGGAUAACUUCAGGAAACUGGGGCUAAUACCGGAUAGGAGCUCCUGCUGCAUGGUGGGGGUUGGAAAGUUUCGGCGGUUGGGGAUGGACUCGCGGCUUAUCAGCUUGUUGGUGGGGUAGUGGCUUACCAAGGCUUUGACGGGUAGCCGGCCUGAGAGGGUGACCGGCCACAUUGGGACUGAGAUACGGCCCAGACUCCUACGGGAGGCAGCAGUGGGGAAUAUUGCACAAUGGGCGGAAGCCUGAUGCAGCAACGCCGCGUGCGGGAUGACGGCCUUCGGGUUGUAAACCGCUUUCGCCUGUGACGAAGCGUGAGUGACGGUAAUGGGUAAAGAAGCACCGGCUAACUACGUGCCAGCAGCCGCGGUGAUACGUAGGGUGCGAGCGUUGUCCGGAUUUAUUGGGCGUAAAGGGCUCGUAGGUGGUUGAUCGCGUCGGAAGUGUAAUCUUGGGGCUUAACCCUGAGCGUGCUUUCGAUACGGGUUGACUUGAGGAAGGUAGGGGAGAAUGGAAUUCCUGGUGGAGCGGUGGAAUGCGCAGAUAUCAGGGGGAACACCAGUGGCGAAGGCGGUUCUCUGGGCCUUUCCUGACGCUGAGGAGCGAAAGCGUGGGGAGCGAACAGGCUUAGAUACCCUGGUAGUCCACGCUGUAAACGGUGGGUACUAGGUGUGGGGUCCAUUCCACGGGUUCCGUGCCGUAGCUAACGCUUUAAGUACCCCGCCUGGGGAGUACGGCCGCAAGGCUAAAACUCAAAGGAAUUGACGGGGCCCCGCACAAGCGGCGGAGCAUGCGGAUUAAUUCGAUGCAACGCGUAGAACCUUACCUGGGUUUGACAUGGAUCGGGAGUGCUCAGAGAUGGGUGUGCCUCUUUUGGGGUCGGUUCACAGGUGGUGCAUGGCUGUCGUCAGCUCGUGUCGUGAGAUGUUGGGUUAAGUCCCGCAACGAGCGCAACCCUUGUUCACUGUUGCCAGCACGUUAUGGUGGGGACUCAGUGGAGACCGCCGGGGUCAACUCGGAGGAAGGUGGGGAUGACGUCAAGUCAUCAUGCCCCUUAUGUCCAGGGCUUCACGCAUGCUACAAUGGCUGGUACAGAGAGUGGCGAGCCUGUGAGGGUGAGCGAAUCUCGGAAAGCCGGUCUCAGUUCGGAUUGGGGUCUGCAACUCGACCUCAUGAAGUCGGAGUCGCUAGUAAUCGCAGAUCAGCAACGCUGCGGUGAAUACGUUCCCGGGGCUUGUACACACCGCCCGUCAAGUCAUGAAAGUUGGUAACACCCGAAGCCGGUGGCCUAACCGUUGAAAGGGAGCCGUCGAAGGUGGGACUGGU
rnacentral:rRNA from 1 species